rnacentral:lncRNA from 1 species
GAUAAAUAUGGGGAGAGCACUGGGGAGAUGAUUUCUGAAAAGGAAAAACGAGGUAGGAUGUGUUACGGUUUGGAAGGGUGCCAGUUUGAUAAAUUGUGGAAUUGUGUGUUGUACAGAAGUUUGUUGAGAAUUAUUUUGUUGUGAAGUGAGAAUUGAUGCUCUGUUAUAGAAUUUUUUCUUAAAGUCUUGAGGAACUCAUUAAUGCUUUGCAAUAGUAGUCUAAGAUUAUAGAAUUCUAAAGGCGAUCUCUGAGGAUUUAUAUAGUUUCAAAAAGACUUAUCAUUGAAAAAUCUAUAAAUAUUUUAAAUUGCUAAAGCAGGUUCUAGGAAAGCAAAAUAUAACCAACAUCUAUUAAUGUUUUUUUAGUUUCAUAUGAUUUUCACUCAUUUUGGUCUUUUUAUCUAGUAAACAGAUCUAAUAAGGUCAUUGGGGAAUGAAGGAGUGGCCAUUUCAUUUGUCUGACAAUUCAUGACCCCAUUUAGAGUUGAGGGGUUUUUUUCUGGCCAAAGAAUGAAUUGUUUUUUCCAUUUGCUUCUCCAGUCCAUUUCACAGAUGAAGAAACUGAACAAAACAGUAAAGACCAGAAUUUCCCUGUGCAAGGAACUUGAUCCCUUUUAAUCUUCUUUGGAAAAAGAGGAUGCAAAGAAGAGUCCAAAAAUUAGAUUUGUUUUCUUGUCAAAUAGAUAAAGGCAAAAAUGAACUAGGGCUUUGUACUCGUAUAUUCUUUGAUCAGCAGAUGAGGAUGAAAAGGAACCAGGUGUUUUUAUUACUGAAAUUAUUGAAGGAGGUGCAAUCCACAAACUUGGAUGCAUCCAAGUAUUUGACCAGAUUAUUAAAAUAGGUGACUCCAAUCUAAUUGGAUUAGAUGAACAAGGAAUCUUUACUUUAAAAAAAAAUGGAAAAUUGUGUUUUCCAGAUUGAAAUUGGACGAGAACCACCUCAAGUCAAGUCAGAACUCAUCAUACUCCUCCAGUUGUCAGAGGAAAGGAAGAAAUAUUUUAUGGAUUCAUUCAUAGUUAAGGAAAAAGUUGGAGAUAUCCAUAUUGUGAAAGGAGAAGCAAGAAACUAUAAGACUUCACCAAUAGCAUGGCUCUGGAUCAUCAGAUACAAGAAUCAAAAAGGAAGAAAAAGCAGAAGAAAUAGUAUUAGAAGAAGAGAUUAGCAGUGCCAAACUUAACAAGGAAAAGGCUCAAAGGAGAUUUUUCUGCAAUGGCAAAGAACACAAUUGGUGGAACUCCUUUUAUUUUAAAAAAUAUAAGCAAAUAAAGAAUGUGUAUAAGCUCGAAAAAACUGAUCA